AUUUUGGACAAUGGGGGCAACCCUGAUCCAGCCAUCCCGCGUGUAUGAUGAAGGCCUUNGGGUUGNANAGUACUCUUGGCAGAGANGAAAAGGUAUCUCCUAAUACGAGAUACUGCUGACGGUAUCUGAAGAAUAAGCACCGGCUAACUACGUGCCAGCAGCGGCGGUAAUACGUAGGGUGCAAGCGUUAAUCGGAAUUACUGGGCGUAAAGCGUGUGUAGGCGGUUCGGAAAGAAAGAUGUGAGAUCCCAGGCCUCAACCUAGGAACUGCACUUUUAACUGCCGAGCUAGAGUAUGUCAGAGGGGGGUAGAAUUCCACGUGUAGCAGUGAAAUGCGUAGAUAUGUGGAGGAAUACCGAUGGCGAAGGCAGCCCCCUGGGAUAAUACUGACGCUCAGACACGAAAGCGUGGGGAGCAAACAG
rnacentral:rRNA from 1 species